AUGUGUUACAAGGCGCGCCGGUUCGAGGUUUUCAAAGCCAACGUCGAAUUCAUUGAAACACUCAAUGCCCAGAAUCACAAGUUCUGGCUCGGCGUCAACCAGUUCGCUGAUAUCACCAAUGAUGAGUUCAGGACAACCAACACAAACAAGGGGUUGAAAUCAAACUCCAUGCGAGUUCUUUCUACAGGAUUCAAGUAUGAGAAUUUGAGUUUUGAUGCUCUUCCAACAACGAUGGACUGGAGGGCUAAGGGGGCUGUCACCCCUAUCAAGGAUCAAGGCCAGUGUGGCUGCUGUUGGGCAUUUUCUGCCGUUGCCGCGACAGAGGGCAUUGUAAAAGUGAAAACCGGCAAGUUAAUCUCACUGUCAGAGCAAGAGUUGGUUGACUGUGAUGUUCAUGGUGAAGUUCAAGGCUGCGAGGGAGGACUCAUGCAUGAUGCAGCCGACGGCAAGUGCAAGGCUGGAUCCAACAGUGCUGCAACCAUCACCGGCUUUGAGGAUGUUCCUAUCAAUAACAAGGGUUCCCUUAUGAAGGCAGUGGCAAACCAAGCAGUGUCUAUAGCUGUGUACAGAGGCGACAUGACAUUCCAAUUCUACUCUGGCGAGGUGAUGACCGGCUCCUGCGGUACUGACUUGGACCAUGGAAUUGCAGCCACUGGAUAUGGAAAGACUAGUGAUGGCACAAGUUAUUGGUUGAUGAAGAAUUCAUGGGGCACAACUUGGGGCGAGAAUGGGUACUUGAGAAUGGAGAAGGACAUUGCAGACAAGAAGGGCAUGUGUGGUCUUGCCAUGGAGCCUUCAUACCCCACCAAAUAG
rnacentral:rRNA from 1 species